rnacentral:rRNA from 1 species
ACGGAGGAGCAAGUCUUCCUUGGAUCGAGGAACCUGUCGUAUCACGGCGCCCACCACCCCGACGCUUGCGCCGAUUGGGAUUACCCUGAAGACCCAGGCGAUCGGCGGAACGGGGUGGAGGUUGCCGAGCUCCAUCACCAGCCGGCGCGCAUGAGCACCUCAGAUUCAGAUCCAUGUGAAAUCGCCAGGCGUGCCUUGGACCUCAUGUUCCCGCGGGAGGAGGACAGCGAUGACGGCUGGAGCACCUGGAGCGCACGGGAGGAGGGCACUGAUGACGACGAUGAACAAGGUAGCCAAUUCUCCCUGCAGACGUCUUCCAUAAGUAAUUAACUAUACCUAGAUCCUAGAUUUACAUUGAUUGGUUCUGUAGGAGGGGAAGGAGUCGAUGACUGUAGCACACAGGAGGGCAGCGAUUAUGAAGACGACGACGACGACCGCAAUUGCCAAGUGAUACUAGCCGAGACAAACUGUCCAGGAAAGCUCUACCCCGAGAGCGAAGCAGAGGCCAUAGAUCUCAGAUGGGCAGAUAAGUUCUUCCAACGGAUUAUAGAACACUCAAAGCUGUGCAAGGAGAUUAUGGCCCUGGGAGAUGAUGAUGAGACUCCUUUCCCCCCAUCUCCCAUGAAAGUGUUCCCUGAGGCAACAGCUUUGUGCAUCCUUGGGCUCAAAUCCUGCCACCACCGUGUUUACAGGACCCAUGACACUUCUACUACCCCAUCAACUCUUGGAUAUCGUGAACCAAGUCAUAUGCUACAAUUUUUCUCCAUGCGUCUAUCAAGCUUUGAAGCCUUGUAUCCCAUUAGUGUGUAUGGAAUAUUCGCCAUUCGGGAUUACUUGGACCGGCGACGGAACUAUGUCUUUAACCGUCCCAGGGAUGAUGCUGUAACAAUUGAGAAGCAGGAUUCUUUUGUCGUACCACUUUGUAGCCCUUGUUGAGGAAUGUAUGUAUCGGAUAAGGCUUUAGUAGAAGUUGAUCUUUGGGUAAAGAAGGAAGGGGAUGAAUCAGAUGACAAGCAACUACUUUCUGCCUACGCUGAGAUUGAUGUCCAUGCUGAAGCUAAUGUCAUGUUUUAUUCACGAAUUUCUGGUGAUAAUUGCAAUUUGGACUUAAAAUACAAAGUCCUUUCAGAAAGUGUCGAGGCUGUAAUACAAGUAUAUGCAAAGGUGGACCAUCCUCACCACGUGAGGUUCACUGCUUUUAGCACCGGAUAUGAUGACUAUCCUCAUCGUGGAGUUGUGCUGUUUGAUGACAAAUUAUUUGGCCACGAAAAAGUAUUCCAGCAUAUUGUCGCAGUGAAAGCAAAUGAAGAACUUCAAGUUUUUUUAGAAGUGAACGGUUCAGUGUUCCAGUGGACUUUUCAAGAUGAACAUGUCGGAGCUGUUAUUUCUCCUCAUGACUCAAUCUUUGAGUAUGGCCAGUUCUUCGUGAGGGUGAUAUUUGCUCCAAAGGAUUGUCAGUGA